AGCACAGUCACUGAGGCGCUCUGCAGGCGUGCAGGGGGCCCCAGGAGGAGGCUGGUGGAGCUGGGGGUGGAUGGAAGCCCAGCGCAGGGCAGGGGGUAGGCAGGAAGGGACUGUCCUCAGUGCAGUGGGGCCCUCGGAGGACUUUGGGCCAGCUUUUAUUGACCAGAUCAACCUCCGAGAUUUUGCAAAGUCACUCAGUGCUGUGGCAGCGUGGACGGCCACUGCAGAGGACACCUGCGAGGGGUUGCAGCCUGCCUGGUGAGAGGAGAUGGUGGCUCAGGCAAGGGGAUGCUGUGGCAGAGAGGGGCUUGGGCUGAGUGUGUCCUGGAGGAAGAGCCAGUUGAAGCCACAGUAUUUCAGAUCCAGCUGGAAUCACAGGGGUUUCUUGUUUGGCCCCUCCCUGAAACCCUGGAAGAAUCUGGAGUCAGCAGAAGUGUGCAUGUUGCAAAAAUCACAGAAUCAUGUAAGGAAUGAAAGGAAAGCCCCCUUCUUCAACCCUGACUCCAACAAUCCCACUGCUCAAAGGAACCCAGAUAAUACGUAGGAAAUACAUACCUACGUGUUUCUUACAUAUUUAGAAAUAUGUCAACAUAAGUCAUUAUAAACAUAAGUCAUUAUAAUUAGUCAUUUGUACUUGAGAAGUCCUAAUGUACAUGGUUACAAUGCAAAUGAUCUCAAAGUGUGUGAAAUGGCAAGUAAAAGUCCUUUUCUCCUCUCACUCCCAACUGCCCGGGGCAACUGCCACCAACAAGGUAUAUUCUUCCAGAAAAAUCAUAAUGUACCUUCAAACACAUGCAUAAAGUUUUAAAAUUGUUCAAUAGGUAGUAAAUUCACAUCAUUCAAAAAUAGAAAACUUACGAACAUGUGUAGAAUGAAGAGGCUCUCUCCCAUCCCACCUCCACCCACCCUCGGGGAACCAUUUUUAGUUUCUUGCGCAUCCUUCCAGAUUUUCUUUCUGAAAAUAUAAGCGAGGGGAGACGCACAUUCUGAUUUUACUCCUUUUACACAAAGGUACUCUUCCCCUUUGCGCUGACUUCCCACAACAGUGUACCUCGGACGGCUCUACUCGUUCCCAUUUCACGGUAGCCUGGUAACCCACUGCAUGGAUUUACCAUCACGCAUUUAACCGCCCUCCCGUUCGUGGCCACUUGGACUGUGUCUAACAUUUUGAUUUUUUUGUUUGUUUGUUUUUUUGAGACAGAAUCUCACUUUGUGCCCCUGGCUGGAGU
rnacentral:lncRNA from 1 species